GGCAGAAGUAGACGCAAUUAAACAUGAAGGAUUGUGAAGGCAAAAGAUGAACCAGCCAGCCUAGUCUCUGGAUGCAUAAGCUCCAAGUGUGGAGGAGACCCGGAGAGAAAAGCAGACUGUUCUCUGUGUUUACCUGUAAGCACAGGCCGCAACCUGCCAUGCUGUUUUUAAAUGCCCAAGAGCUGGUGACAAGAGGGUUUCCCUUUGCCAUCUGGACCUGAUUGCCUUAGAGAGUGCUUUCCUUUAACUCCUCUCAAUUCAUCCUCCCAAAAC
rnacentral:lncRNA from 1 species